rnacentral:rRNA from 1 species
GUGCCAGCAGCCGCGGUAAUUCCAGCUCCAAUAGCGUAUACUAAAGUUGUUGCGGUUAAAAAGCUCGUAGUUGGAUGUCAGUUGCGGGCGGGCGGUCCACCGUUUUGGUGGUUUACUGCUCGNCCCGNGAACUACCAACCGGNCUCCCCCGCUAUGCUCUUUACCCANUGUGGNGGGUGGNCGGAACUUUUACUUUGAAAAAAUUAGAGUGNUCUAAGNAGGUGNAUGNCGCCUGAAUAACACAGNAUNGAAUAAUGGAAUAGGACNCGG